GGUUAAGCGACUAAGCGUACACGGUGGAUGCCCUGGCAGUCAGAGGCGAUGAAGGACGUGCUAAUCUGCGAAAAGCGUCGGUAAGGUGAUAUGAACCGUUAUAGCCGGCGAUGUCCGAAUGGGGAAACCCAGUGCAAUUCGUUGCACUAUCGUUAACUGAAUACAUAGGUUAACGAGGCGAACCGGGGAACUGAAACAUCUAAGUACCCCGAGGAAAAGAAAUCAACCGAGAUUCCCCAGUAGCGGCGAGCGAACGGGGAGCAGCCCGGAGUCUGAAUCAGCUUGUGUGUUAGUGGAAGCGUCUGGAAAGUCGCAGGGUACAGGGUGAUACUCCCGUACACUAAAGCACACAGGUUGUGAACUCGAAGAGUAGGGCGGGACACGUGGUAUCCUGUCUGAAUAUGGGGGGACCAUCCUCCAAGGCUAAAUACUCCUGACUGACCGAUAGUGAACCAGUACCGUGAGGAAAGGCGAAAAGAACCCCGGCGAGGGGAGUGAAAAAGAACCUGAAACCGUGUACGUACAAGCAGUAGGAGCCCACUUGUUGGGUGACUGCGUACCUUUUGUAUAAUGGGUCAGCGACUUAUAUUCUGUAGCAAGGUUAACCGUAUAGGGGAGCCGCAGGGAAACCGAGUCUUAACUGGGCGUUAAGUUGCAGGGUAUAGACCCGAAACCCGGUGAUCUAGCCAUGGGCAGGUUGAAGGUUGGGUAACACUAACUGGAGGACCGAACCGACUAAUGUUGAAAAAUUAGCGGAUGACUUGUGGGGGGGUGAAAGGCCAAUCAAACCGGGAGAUAGCUGGUUCUCCCCGAAAGCUAUUUAGGUAGCGCCUCGUGAAUUCAUCUUCGGGGUAGAGCACUGUUUCGGCUAGGGGUCAUCCCGACUUACCAACCCGAUGCAAACUACGAAUACCGAAGAAUGUUAUCACGGGAGACACACGGCGGGUGCUAACGUCCGUCGUGAAGAGGGAAACAACCCAGACCGCCAGCUAAGGUCCCAAAGUCAUGGUUAAGUGGGAAACGAUGUGGGAAGGCCAGACAGCCAGGAUGUUGGCUUAGAAGCAGCCAUCAUUUAAAGAAAGCGUAAUAGCUCACUGGUCGAGUCGGCCUGCGCGGAAGAUGUAACGGGCUAAACCAUGCACCGAAGCUGCGGCAGCGACACUAUGUGUUGUUGGGUAGGGGAGCGUUCUGUAAGCCGUUGAAGGUGGCCUGUGAGGGUUGCUGGAGGUAUCAGAAGUGCGAAUGCUGACAUAAGUAACGAUAAUGCGGGUGAAAAACCCGCACGCCGGAAGACCAAGGGUUCCUGUCCAACGUUAAUCGGGGCAGGGUGAGUCGACCCCUAAGGCGAGGCCGAAAGGCGUAGUCGAUGGGAAACAGGUUAAUAUUCCUGUACUCGGUGUUACUGCGAAGGGGACGGAGAAGGCUAUGUUGGCCGGCGACGGUUGUCCCGGUUUAAGCAUGUAGGCGGAUGUUCCAGGUAAAUCCGGAACGUCACUAACGCUGAGGUGUGAUGACGAGGCACUACGGUGCUGAAGUGACAAAUGCCCUGCUUCCAGGAAAAGCCUCUAAGCAUCAGGUAACAUCAAAUCGUACCCCAAACCGACACAGGUGGUCAGGUAGAGAAUACCAAGGCGCUUGAGAGAACUCGGGUGAAGGAACUAGGCAAAAUGGUGCCGUAACUUCGGGAGAAGGCACGCUGAUGGUAGGUGAAGUGACUUGCUCAUGGAGCUGAAAUCAGUCGAAGAUACCAGCUGGCUGCAACUGUUUAUUAAAAACACAGCACUGUGCAAACACGAAAGUGGACGUAUACGGUGUGACGCCUGCCCGGUGCCGGAAGGUUAAUUGAUGGGUUAUCCUCGCGGAGAAGCUCUUGAUCGAAGCCCCGGUAAACGGCGGCCGUAACUAUAACGGUCCUAAGGUAGCGAAAUUCCUUGUCGGGUAAGUUCCGACCUGCACGAAUGGCGUAAUGAUGGCCAGGCUGUCUCCACCCGAGACUCAGUGAAAUUGAACUCGCUGUGAAGAUGCAGUGUACCCGCGGCAAGACGGAAAGACCCCGUGAACCUUUACUAUAGCUUGACACUGAACACUGGUCCUUGAUGUGUAGGAUAGGUGGGAGGCUUUGAAGUGUGGACGCCAGUCUGCAUGGAGCCAUCCUUGAAAUACCACCCUUUAAUGGCUGGUGUUCUAACGUGGGCCCGUGAUCCGGGUUGCGGACAGUGUCUGGUGGGUAGUUUGACUGGGGCGGUCUCCUCCUAAAGAGUAACGGAGGAGCACGAAGGUCAGCUAAUCCUGGUCGGACAUCAGGAGGUUAGUGCAAUGGCAUAAGCUGGCUUGACUGCGAGCGUGACGGCGCGAGCAGGUGCGAAAGCAGGUCAUAGUGAUCCGGUGGUUCUGAAUGGAAGGGCCAUCGCUCAACGGAUAAAAGGUACUCCGGGAUAACAGGCUGAUACCGCCAAGAGUUCAUAUCGACGGCGGUGUUUGGCACCUCGAUGUCGGCUCAUCACAUCCUGGGGCUGAAGUAGGUCCCAAGGGUAUGGCUGUUCGCCAUUUAAAGUGGUACGCGAGCUGGGUUUAGAACGUCGUGAGACAGUUCGGUCCCUAUCUGCCGUGGGCGCUGGAGAAUUGAGGGGGGCUGCUCCUAGUACGAGAGGACCGGAGUGGACGCAUCACUGGUGUUCGGGUUGUCAUGCCAAUGGCAUUGCCCGGUAGCUAAAUGCGGAAGAGAUAAGUGCUGAAAGCAUCUAAGCACGAAACUUGCCCCGAGAUGAGUUCUCCCUGACUCCUUGAGAGUCCUGAAGGAACGUUGAAGACGACGACGUUGAUAGGCCGGGUGUGUAAGCGCAGCGAUGCGUUGAGCUAACCGGUACUAAUGAACCGUGAGGCUUAACCUU
rnacentral:rRNA from 1 species